rnacentral:rRNA from 1 species
AGUGAACGCUGGCGGUAGGCCUAACACAUGCAAGUCGAACGGCAGCACAGUAAGAGCUUGCUCUUACGGGUGGCGAGUGGCGGACGGGUGAGGAAUACAUCGGAAUCUACUUUUUCGUGGGGGAUAACGUAGGGAAACUUACGCUAAUACCGCAUACGACCUACGGGUGAAAGCAGGGGAUCUUCGGACCUUGCGCGAUUGAAUGAGCCGAUGUCGGAUUAGCUAGUUGGCGGGGUAAAGGCCCACCAAGGCGACGAUCCGUAGCUGGUCUGAGAGGAUGGUCAGCCACACUGGAACUUGGACACGGUCCAGACUCCUACGGGAGGCAGCAGUGGGGAAUAUUGGACAAUGGGCGCAAGCCUGAUCCAGCCAUACCGCGUGGGUGAAGAAGGCCUUCGGGUUGUAAAGCCCUUUUGUUGGGAAAGAAAAGCAGCAGGUUAAUACCCCGCUGUUCUGACGGUACCCAAAGAAUAAGCACCGGCUAACUUCGUG